rnacentral:rRNA from 1 species
CCUACGGGGGGCUGCAGUGGGGAAUAUUGGACAAUGGGGGCAACCCUGAUCCAGCCAUGCCGCGUGUGUGAAGAAGGCCCUCGGGUUGUAAAGCACUUUCAGUGAGGAAGAACGCCUGGUGGUUAAUACCCAUCAGGAAAGACAUCACUCACAGAAGAAGCACCGGCUAACUCCGUGCCAGCAGCCGCGGUAAUACGGAGGGUGCGAGCGUUAAGCGGAAUUACUGGGCGUAAAGCGCGCGUAGGUGGCUUGAUAAGCCGGUUGUGAAAGCCCCGGGCUCAACCUGGGAACGGCAUCCGGAACUGUCAAGCUAGAGUGCAGGAGAGGAAGGUAGAAUUCCCGGUGUAGCGGUGAAAUGCGUAGAGAUCGGGAGGAAUACCAGUGGCGAAGGCGGCCUUCUGGACUGAAACUGACACUGAGGUGCGAAAGCGUGGGUAGCAAACAGGAUUAGAUACCCCAGUAGUC